GCCUGGAUGGCUCAGUGGGUUGAGCAUCCAACUUUGACUUAGGUCAUGAUCUCACAGUUUGUGGGUUUGAGCCCCACGUCAGGUU
rnacentral:tRNA from 1 species